CACAGAAGGUGUGGGCUGAGGGUGGGAGUCCUGGGUGCUUUAGAGCUGCAGUGACAGGGCAGAUGGUCAUUUUAUGUUGUGGGUUUUGUUUUUUUUUUUUUGGUACUAGGGAUCGAACUUGGGACCUUGUGCUUUCGAGGCAGGCAGGCAGGCAGGGUAAGCACUGAGCUAAAUCCCCAGCCAGAUGGUCAUUUUAGGAUGAUUUCCCUGGGUGAAGUAGCAGGGAGCAGCUGGGGCAGGCAGGGCCUGGGCACCUACAGUGGGGCAUUGGCUGAGGGAGCCUCUCUUGCUUCUGGAACAGGUCUUGGGGAUGCCCAUGUCCUCUGAACUUCCCAGGUGAAAAGACCCAGCUCCAAGGGGCACACAAGGCGAGGAGCUGCCUUUGGCCCUAAGGACCUGUGCUCUGCCUGGUGAAGACAUCUGCUGUGGGGUGCUAUCCAGGCCGAGUGAAUGCAAAGCUCAUAGAUCAUGUGAGGAAACAGGCAAGUGGUCCACCGAGAUGAGCUUCAGGCUUGGCUAGUUCUGUGUACAUCACUCUCUAGCUGUGUAACUUUAGGUACGUUGCUUGCUCUCUCUGGCCUUCCAUUGCAAUUUCCAUAAAAUGGCAACAGUAGCUGCUUUGUAAAUUAUAAAGCCCUGUGCAUUCAUUGCAUGGACAGUGUGCUUAACCAGUGGACAUUGCCAACUUCCCCCUUUCCCACCUGUAUCACAAAGGCUGGAGAAACCGUCUGGUCACUUUGCAGCUUCCCUGAGAGUUAGAGGGGGCUCCAGAAAAUAGCUGGGCUAAUUAGAUCUAACUGAAAAUGCCAAAGAACAUUUCCACAAAAGUGUCUGCUUUCCUGUUACAAGGUAUUCACUGCUGGUUCCCCCAUUUGAUGACUGACUGCAGUACUAGGGAUUGAAUCCAGGGCCUUCACAGCGAACUACAUUCCUAGUCAUUUUUUAAGUUUUGAGCCAGAGUCUCAAAAGUUGCCCAGGGAGGAAUCAAACUUGCAAUCCUCUUGCCUCAGCCUCCCAAAGUGCUGGGUUUUUAAGUAUGCACCACCACACCCGGCUCCCCUUUCUUAACGCUAAAUGAUGUUAAUGUUGCAGCAGUGUCUUGGGACAAUGAGGCAACAGACCUGGGAGAGAAAUCAACAAGGUGAGGGUGGAGGUUCAGAAAAGGAGGAGUGCGGUUCCUCGAUGCACCUGGGAACUGCUGCUUCAGAGCUACUCUGCCGGCUUCAGAAAACAAGCCCCAGUGUGGUUAGUUGGGUAGGAAGUUUCUUGCAGCUGCAUAUAUUUCUAACUGAUAUAGUAGUGAGGUGUUCAUUUAUUUUAGCGAUAAUAAAAAACAGUAAGUGGGCUGAGGAUUUAGCUCAGUGGUUUCGCUGGCUGCUGCGCAAGCGCAAGGACCUGAGUUCGAUCCCUGGUACCAAAAAAAAAAAAAAAACCCUCAAAAAACAACAAACAAACCAAAAAACCAGUAAGCAAGAGAAACUUGGCUGUAUAGCUCAGGACUAUGGGUAGCAAUAGU
ensembl:lncRNA